AUGGCCUCUCCCACACCACGGGGAGAUUACCAUGCCAGUUUGGUAACAGGGGGGAGGGGUGGAGAUCACGUCCAGAAAGUGUCGCGGUCGCCGGAGGGGGCCAAAACUUCGAUGCAGAUGGAAUAUCUGGGGAAGGAGGAGGGUGACGGCUGCGGUCCGUCGCCAUCGUUGGAGGGGAGCUUCGAUCCUGAGCACCGGAGGGAGGAGGUCAGGGGCGUCGCUUCGGUCGCCGGCGCCUGUUGUUCACUCGUAUCGCUCGAGACGGCGGUUUCCUUUCCGAUCUCUAGGGUCGUGGCGUUUCUUCCCGUGGAAACGACGUGGGUCAGGCAGGGCUACCUCCCGUACAGAUGCAUCCAAAUGUCGCGGCGGGUCUCUCGGGGCCAACUCAGCACGAGGUUCUCUGGCCCGGGGAAAUAG
rnacentral:rRNA from 1 species